GGAGAGGGAGAGCAACUUGGACGAGAGCGAGGAGGAGAGUUCAGCAGGAGAAUACAGAGAACCACUGGCAACACUACAACACAACAUGAUGCUAGGCACACAGGUGGCAGGUGUGUACAGAGACCUGUGUCUGCAGGUGAUCCAACACAGG